rnacentral:tRNA from 1 species
GCCGACUUAGCUCAGUUGGUUAGAGCGCUUCACUAGUAAUGAAGAGGUCGGGCGUUCGAAUCGUCUAGUCGGCAUCA